rnacentral:tmRNA from 1 species
GGGGAUGUCAUGGUUUCGACAGGUAUUGUUCGAGCUUAUGAUGCGUCAGGAAGGCAGCGACUUCCUAAAAACGCUACAGUUAAAUAUAACUGCAGAAAAAACAAACAAUAAUUUUGCUUUAGCAGCCUAAAAACUGCUUGCAAAGAUCAGCCCGGCAUCGCCCAUGUGCUCGGAUCCUGGUCUCAAAUUAAGUGGGAUACACAUUAGUUUUCCGUCUGCAAACUAGUGGAGAGAUUACCAGACUCGCAACCAUUGAUGCUCGUUUAUCAGCUAGAUGCAAGCUAAACUUUAAAUCGAUAAACUAUUGACGUAGAUUUGUAAGUGGCGAGGUAUUUGGACAGGAGUUCGACUCUCCUCAUCUCCAUAA